UCUCCCAAUCCACGUGAUCGAAGCAAUCUUCAAGCGUGGAAUCAGAUUAGUCGGACCAGCGUUGAACAGACCUGAGUGCGGGAGCUUCCUGUUUUAGUCUCUGUCUAUAGGCUGGGAGCAACACAAUGGAGUCGUGGACAGCUUUUCCAAAAGGAGGGUGGGGAGGACCUUAUAUGCAUUACGGAAGUUACAAUAACAAUGAUCCAGGGUUUUACCAGCCCUGGUUGCACAAUCAAUAUGCUGAUAGAAUUUAGGGAGUUUUGUUUUCAGAUUAGCCUUGUUAAAAUCCCCGGCUACAAUUAAUGCGGCCUCAGGAUAUGUGGUUUCCAGUUUACAUAGAGUCAAACAAAGUUUGUUCAGGGCCGUCGAUGUGUCUGCUUGGGGGGGAAUAUAUGCGGCUGUGAUGAUAAUCGAAGAUAAUUAUUUUGGUAGAUAAUGCGGUCGACAUUUGAUUGUGAGGAAUUCUAAGUCAGGUGAACAGAAGGACUUGAGUUCCUGUAUGUUGUUAUGAUCACACCACGUCUUGUUAAUCAUAAGGCAUACCCCCGCCCCUCUUCUUACCAGAAAGAUGCUUGUUGCUGUCGGCGAUGCGUGAAGAAACCAGCUGGCUCUACUAACUCCGAUAGCGUGUCUCGAGUCAGCCAUCUUUCUGUGAAGCAAAGAACGUUACAGCCGCUUAUGUCUCUCUGGAAUGCUACCUGAAAGAUUAGUGGAAUCUGUGUGGGUAGCUGGACAGGUAGGAUGACUGACAGUGAAGGUGAACAGGUGGUCACGUGUCAGGUGACAGAGGAAUGGAUGAGACUGAGGCAGGAAUUCCUUUAACCAUAAAGUGGUAUAUUUACUGAGUAGUCUGUGCUGCAUCAAAGGAAACAAAUAACAUGUAUCCAAUCAAAUUCAUAAUCAAAGAUCAAAUCAUGGUCAUUAUUAACAUAAGUUAGGGAAUUCAACAGUCCAGUUCAUUAAGAAGUCAAUAGUAAUCAUCCGCGAGUCAUUUAGGCUCAUAACUAUUUAUCAUAAAUCAUGAAAGAAUACAAACAGUGAAUGUUUAUACAAUCUAUAAUCCCCAUGAUCAAAGUCAAUCAGUUAGCAAACAAUGACGUUUCUCAUUUCACGCUUUCAAUUGUCUUCAUGUGUACAUAUAAUUAAUUUCAAUACACAUGAACCAUAUCGAUUACAUAAUUGGCCUAUGAGGAUAUGUAGGGCCGUGAUAUUUGACAAUUCACAUUACACAAUAUGUUUGAAGCUGCGCUCCAAGACGCGCUCCGCGGUAAUAACUAUUAACAGUAACUGAAUGGCCCACUCUCCCGAUCGCCACAGAUAAUUCAGAAAGGUAACAGUCGGUGGAUUCAUGGACGCACAGAACUUCUGGAUGAGAUGGAGUUAAGGAAGAGAAAGCAGCGAGAUCACGCGAUGGCAAUUUCCUCCUUUUAUGGAGUUGAGAUCUGUCGGACAUUUCCACCUGACCUAAUUAAAGCGCCCCUGGCCCAGCUGAGUAAAUGGCAAUGAAUUAAAGGAUUAUUCCACCAACUCCAUGGGCCUUUUCUACACUACCCUUGCUCGGAUUUCAUCAACCUUGUUGUCAAGAGGCUGGACAUUGGCGAGUAGUAUGCUCGGGAGAGGUGCGCGAUGUGCCCGUCUCCAGAGCCUGACCAGAAGACCGCAUCGUCUGCCCCUUUUACUGCAACGUUGUUUUGGUUCGCCGGCUGGGAUCCGAUCCAUUGUCCUGGGUGUUGGGCAAAACACAGGAUCCGCUUCGGGAAAGUCGUAUUCCUGGUCGUAAUGAUGGUUCUUUGAGCUGGUAGUGCCAUCGUCACCCACUUUGUUGUUGAUGAGUGGAAUGAGGGCUGCUGGUCGAGAGCUGCCGACCCCGUCACAGCAGUUCUGCCCGCUCUGACUUUGGCCUCUGUCUCCAGUCCCACGUCUCAUCAGUCCUGCUACUCUAUCCUGGACCCCCCACUCCACUGCGUCCUUGGAUUCUUCUCCGGACCUGCUUACUCAGUCCCAACUCCCCUCGCUCCAGCCUCAGCAAUGGGCUUCCUGCAACCCGCCCGAGCUUCCCUGGCCUGCACCCCAUCUUCCCCAUGUUUCAAAAAAUACCUUGGUUACCUCAUCUGAGUCUGCUCUUGGGUUCACCUGUUCUGCUCCACGUGACACCUGUUUUAAUAUUCAGAGACAAUAUCCCUGAUCUUACCUGUGCACAUAGCGAUCUCUUGCUUUUAGGUGUUAUUAUAGAGAAUACUAACUGUACCAUGAUUUUGUUCACCAUUUUGUCACACUUCUGUUCCAAAAUAUGUAAAUGCUAUUAACAAAAACUGAGUUAAAAUGAAAGACAGCAGAAAGCCACACCAGCUUGGCCAAAACCAAUGAAUGUUGUUAAAAAUGUGGAUAGAAGCAUAGGCCAUUAAGGCCUACCAUUAACCAUAACAUAUAUUAUGAACAAAAGGUCAUGGUAGUUUCCCCACUGGGCACAGACAUCAUGUCAAUAUUUAGUUUUGAUUUAAAUUUGUUUGAGUUGUCAACAAACGUGAAAUCAACAAAAAAUGUCACCCUGCCAUUGGAUUUCGAUUUAAAAGUUGAUUUAAAAAAAAAAGUCCUUACAUUGACUUUUUGCAAAACUUAUUUUUCCCCAAUGUUGAUUCAAUGUCAUCGCAUUUAUUUCGUUGAAAUGACGUGGAACCAGCGUUGAUUCAACCAGUUUAUGCCCAGAGGGUAUUUAAUAAAUACACAUUUUUAAUGGAUAGUGACUGUCACAUUACCAUCACAUAAACAUACCAGCCAUGAAACAUUAUGUCCAUGAAAUCAUAAAGCUGUCCAGAGAGGGGAGCUUAUGGCUGACUUGCUUGAAUAAAUAUUCUAUUGACUC